rnacentral:rRNA from 1 species
GACGAACGCUGGCGGCGUGCUUAACACAUGCAAGUCGAACGGUAAGGCCCUUUCGGGGGUACACGAGUGGCGAACGGGUGAGUAACACGUGGGUGAUCUGCCCUGCACUUUGGGAUAAGCCUGGGAAACUGGGUCUAAUACCGGAUAGGACUACGCGAUGCAUGUCGUGUGGUGGAAAGCUUUUGCGGUGUGGGAUGGGCCCGCGGCCUAUCAGCUUGUUGGUGGGGUGAUGGCUUACCAAGGCGACGACGGGUAGCCGGCCUGAGAGGGUGUCCGGCCACACUGGGACUGAGAUACGGCCCAGACUCCUACGGGAGGCAGCAGUGGGGAAUAUUGCACAAUGGGCGCAAGCCUGAUGCAGCGACGCCGCGUGGGGGAUGACGGCCUUCGGGUUGUAAACCCCUUUCAGCACAGACGAAGCGUAAGUGACGGUAUGUGCAGAAGAAGCACCGGCCAACUACGUG